rnacentral:rRNA from 1 species
UUCGCUGACGAGUGGCGGACGGGUGAGUAAUGUCUGGGAAACUGCCUGAUGGAGGGGGAUAACUACUGGAAACGGUAGCUAAUACCGCAUAACGUCGCAAGACCAAAGAGGGGGACCUUCGGGCCUCUUGCCAUCGGAUGUGCCCAGAUGGGAUUAGCUUGUUGGUGGGGUAACGGCUCACCAAGGCGACGAUCCCUAGCUGGUCUGAGAGGAUGACCAGCCACACUGGAACUGAGACACGGUCCAGACUCCUACGGGAGGCAGCAGUGGGGAAUAUUGCACAAUGGGCGCAAGCCUGAUGCAGCCAUGCCGCGUGUAUGAAGAAGGCCUUCGGGUUGUAAAGUACUUUCAGCGGGGAGGAAGGGAGUAAAGUUAAUACCUUU